UCGUAAAACUCUGGUUUUCAGGGUACGAAUGUGACGGUAUUGUAAAUAAUGUAUUGUAAUGACGGUACCUGAGUAGAAAGCCACGGCUAACUACGUGC
rnacentral:rRNA from 1 species